GAUGCAAGCGUUAUCCGGAAUCAUUGGGCGUAAAGCGCCUGUAGGUUGUUUAAUAAGUCUGUUGUUAAAGACUGGGGCUUAACCCYAGGAAAGCAAUGGAAACUACUAGACUWGAGUAUGAUAGGGGUAGAGGGAAUUUCUAGUGUAGCGGUGAAAUGCGUAGAUAUUAGRAAGAACACCGGUGGCGAAGGCGCUCUACUGGAUCAUUACUGACACUCAGAGGCGAAAGCUAGGGUAGCAAAAGGGAUUAGAUACCCCUGUAGUCCUAGCCGUAAACGAUGGAUACUAGAUGUUGCGUUUAUUAUGCAGUAUCGUAGCUAACGCGUUAAGUAUCCCGCCUGGGGAGUACGCUCGCAA
rnacentral:rRNA from 1 species